AUUGAACGCUGGCGGCAUGCCUUACACAUGCAAGUCGAACGGCAGCACGGGUUCGUGUGCUUACUGGCGAGUGACGGACGAGUGAUUAAUACAUCCGUACACGUCCGUUGGGGGUGAAUAGGCGGACGAAAUCCUGAUUAAUACCGCAUACUGUCGAUGGAUGAAAGCGACGGACCAGCGAUCUUUGCCCUCGAGCGUUUGGCGAUGGCGGAUUAGGUAGUUGGUGGGGUAAAGGCCUACCAAGGCGACGAUCAGUAGCUGGUCUGAGAGGACGACCAGCCACACUGGGACUGAGACACGGCCCAGACUCCUACGGGAGGCAGCAGUGGGGAAUUUUGGACAAUGGGCGCAAGCCUGAUCCAGCAAUGCCGCGUGCGUGAAGAAGGCCUUCGGGUUGUAAAGCGCUUUUGUACGGAAAGAAAAGCUUGGCGCUAAUACCGUGGGGGGAUGACGGUACCGGAAGAAUAAGCACCGGCUAACUACGUG
rnacentral:rRNA from 1 species